rnacentral:lncRNA from 1 species
GGGCUGUAAUUGUGGCUCUUGUGUGAUGUUUUUACCCUGUGUGUGUGUGUGUGUGUGUGUGUGUGUGUGUCGUCCUCCCCUCUGCUGAGGAAAGGGGACAGUCUUCCAGCUGAUAGCAGAAUUCAGGUCGACACCGCAUCAUUUCUGCCUCAUGCAUCAAUUCAUGUUGUUACUCCUGUGACCAGAGAAAGUGAAAUAUUCCUCCAUAUUAAAACACGCUGCUAAAAAUAACAACAACAAUCUUAUCGGAAACACUUUGCAAUACUCAGUAUUACAGCUGCAGUGGAAGUACAGUAGGGAGAACCCACAUUUUAAGGCUUGACAGUGUUGACAGCGCUGAGUAACUACUGAAACACAAACUCACUCAUAAAAAUAAAUAAAAAACAGCAGCUCUUUGAAAUCUCACAGUAUCAACUUUUGUCGUUCGAGGUUUUUUUUUUUUUUUUUUUUUAACAGUCUAUGUCUCCAGGAAACCGUCCAGACACGGUGAUCUGAGCUAUCUGAUUGGACAGCGGUGGGCCUAUCGGUGCACUUGAUUUGCUCUCUGGGCCUACCGCCAACAACGAGAGCACCUAACGCCAACAACCCCUGCUCUAAACUGUGGUGUGUGUAGUGUCAUUGAUGCUAGUGGACAGAACGCUCUAGGCUAUUUCAGAUCAAACUCACUACUACUGACGGACGGUCUGGUGACAGCGCCAGGUGUUGGUAGUAAAACCAGGUCACUGAGGUCUCUGUUGUCUGUAUUGGAGAGAGGAGCAGUAGUAAAACCAGGUCACUGAGGUCUCUGUUGUCUGGAGGAGAGAGGAGCAGUAGUUAGAAUCAGUACUGGGGUAUCUGUUGUCUGUAUUGGAGAGAGGAGCAGUAGUUAGAAUCAGUACUGAGGUCUCUGUUGUCUGUAUUAGAGAGGAGCAGUAGUUAGAAUCAGUACUGAGGUAUCUGUUGUCUGUAUUGGAGAGAGGAGCAGUAGUUAGAAUCAGUACUGAGGUCUCUGUUGUCUGGAGGAGAGAGGAGCAGUAGUUAGAAUCAGUACUGAGGUCUCUGUUGUCUGGAGGAGAGAGGAGCAGUAGUUAGAAUCAGUACUGAGGUCUCUGUUGUCUGUAUUAGAGAGGAGCAGUAGUUAGAAUCAGUACUGAGGUCUCUGUUGUCUGUAUUAGAGAGGAGCAGUAGUUAGAAUCAGUGGCUGCUGCUUGUUGUGAUGAAAGUAGCCCUGUAUGUGUGUGUGUUGUGUGUACAGCUGUGACCCACAUGACCUCACCACUUCCCCUCUCUGCUCUCUUGGUUGGAGGAGAGAGAGGCUCUCAGCUGGUGACUGACUGCUAGGUGCUCAGACGUGGCCUGUCUGUGAGUAGAGAGAAGCUCUCAGCUGGUGACUGACUGCUGGCUGCUCAGACGUGGCCUGUCUGUGAGAAGAGAGAAGCUCUCAGCUGGUGACUGACUGCUGGCUGCUCAGACGUGGCCUGUCUGUUAGUAGAGAGGCUCUCAGCUGGUGACUGACUUCUGGCUGCUCAGACGUGGCCUGUCUGUGAGAAGAGAGAAGCUCUCAGCUGGUGACUGACUUCUGGCUGCUCAGACGUGGCCUGUCUGUGAGAAGAGAGAAGCUCUCAGCUGGUGACUGACUGCUGGCUGCACAGACGUGGAUAGUUCUGUCACAAAAACGGUGUUAACUGAGUUAACUAGCAAAUGUGCCGACUCUGGUCUUGGUAUGUGAGCUCUGGCCAACAGCUCCUAGAUAAAGUAUCCGUAAGUUAGUCUAAAUGAUGAGAUUAUUAUGGAUAAGAGCUAAAUUAUUUUUUAUUUGUCAAACAGCAGUCAAGCAUCGAUCGUCAAGACACCAGUAUAAAACCCUAGAUAUUUAUUUCAAAGGAGCAUUAAGAUCAC